rnacentral:rRNA from 1 species
AGGCCUAACACAUGCAAGUCGAGCGGUAACAGANAGUAGCUUGCUACUUUGCUGACGAGCGGCGGACGGGUGAGUAAUGCUUGGGAACAUGCCUUGAGGUGGGGGACAACAGUUGGAAACGACUGCUAAUACCGCAUAAUGUCUACGGACCAAAGGGGGCUUCGGCUCUCGCCUUUAGAUUGGCCCAAGUGGGAUUAGCUAGUUGGUGAGGUAAUGGCUCACCAAGGCGACGAUCCCUAGCUGGUUUGAGAGGAUGAUCAGCCACACUGGGACUGAG